UUGAUUACGUCCCUGCCCUUUGUACACACCGCCCGUCGCUGCCCGGGACUGAGCCAUUUCGAGAAACUUGGGGACCGCUGAUUUCCAGGCUUUCGGGUCUGCUAAUUGGUGGGAACCAAUUUAAUCGCAGUGGCUUGAACCGGGCAAAAGUCGUAACAAGGUAGCUGUAGGUGAACCUGCUGCUGGAUCAUUACAUCCGCCCAAUGUAAUUGGUCAAAUUUCUGUGUGAAAUGCUGACAAACAUAGAAGCCCGACUAUGUGUUGUCACAGAGCACACACACUUUCUUCGUCAAUUGUGUGUUUAUUUGAUGGGAAAGAGUAGUAGUGCAAGUUGUUUGUGCGCAGUACGUAUUUCUCUAUGUGUGUUUAUGAGAUGCGUGUCGGCACAAAUGGCGAUUAUCCGCUCAACCACACGGGGAAAGGUGGUUCCACCAAGUGUGAUAUGGUGGCUUUUGCGAUGGAGCGGUCAAAUAAACGGCUAACGCUGGUGUCUGUGUGUUGCUGAGCAGUCGUAUUCGUCCGUGGCUGUGAUGAGGCAAUGCGGUAGGGCCUGCAUGUGUGUGUCUUGCAUGGCUUAAGACUUAAUGAGCCCAUUCUGUGUGGGGACGCCAGCACAAACCCAUUUUUUCCAACUUUUUUUUAUGCUUGUAAAGCAACAAGAAAACAUUCUAGUCUUAUCGGUGGAUCACUCGGCUCGUAGGUCGAUGAAGAACGCAGCUAACUGCGAUAAAUAGUGUGAACUGCAGAAACCUUGAACACAAAAGCUUCGAAUGCACAUUGCACCAAGGGAGUCUUAUCCCUUGGUACGCCUGGUUCAGGGUCGUAAACCAAAAACGCAUAUCAAAUGCGUAGUAUGCGCUGCCUCUGCGCAUAUGUGAUUGAUAGGUUCAUUCAACUGUGUGCGAAUGUUCCUGUAAUUCAAAAAAAAAAUGUUGCAACUGGUGUGUUGUGGGAUGGCUACUUGAACUUUGUAUAAUGAAAUACAAGCCUAUAGUUCCAAGUGGACAUCGAGGAGCAAAUUCCUCUCGAAUCACUUCAGGCCAACAUCUGACUGAUAGCACAUUUUUUGAGUCCCCAUAUAAAACAUACGCGAACUAUGUUUUGGACAGCACAAGAAAAUUGCAUUUUCGACCUGAACUCAGACGUGAAUACCCGCUGAACUUAAGCAUAUCAGUAAGCGGAGGAAAAGAAACUAACAAGGAUUCCCUUAGUAACGGCGAGUGAAA
rnacentral:rRNA from 1 species